UACGGAGGGUGCAAACGUUGCUCGGAAUCAUUGGGCGUAAAGCGCACGUAGGCGGCUUGUUAAGUCGGGUGUGAAAGCCCCAGGCUCAACCUGGGAAGUGCACUCGAAACUGGCGAGCUUGAAUAUGGAAGAGGGUCGCGGAAUUCCCGGUGUAGAGGUGAAAUUCGUAGAUAUCUGGAGGAACACCGGUGGCGAAGGCGGCAUCCUGGACCGGCAUUGACGCUGAGGCGCGAAAGCCAGGGGAGCAAACGGG
rnacentral:rRNA from 1 species